UGUUUACAUGUGACGGUGGCAGCCAUGGAGACUAGCAAGAUCUUCACUACCUUACUCUCUCUUGUUGUGUUAUUCGCUGCUAUUUGGUUUAGUCGUGAUGACGGCUACUCAGUAUUACCUAAUAAACUUCAACAAGUCCUUCACGCCAUGCUUGAGGUUGAACAGCAGUAUCAUGUGGGUGAGGUGCAAAUCGCUGUUGGCUAUGGAGCGUGUAAGGAUAUUUUUGUGCAGGGGUCACUCUUAAUGGGUGCUAUGACUCCACCUCAGCGUACGGCACACUUCAGCCGUAUAGACUCCAUCGAGCAGCUCAAAGAAAUGUAUGCCCUCUUUUAUACUGCUGGAUCUGCUGCUGAACGGUAUGUGGGAAAUGAGACUCUCUUCAGUGAGACGUUAGCUGCAGCAGAAGCAGUACCAGGGUCUUAUUCAACCUUGGGGGGUAAUGCACCAGUCAUGGCAUCACGGUUUGCUUCAGAAGGAGCCAAAGUGCUUCUUGCAGCCAAACGUACCCCUUACAUAAUGCAGAAAAUUAACUCUAAUAUCAUUGUUGGAGGUGUAGAAACAGAAGGUGCUGAUGACAUCCACCUCAUCUUGGAGUACAAGGCGGGAGAGAGCUGGGGUACCUACCAGGCUCCACGAGCUAACAGGUUCAUCAUGCAUAGUGAUGAUAGCAACCCAACUUUAAGCACAGUGGAAUAUUUUGGUGAGCAGCUGACAGCAUUUAAGCCACACUUGUUUGUGGUUGGUGGACUACAGAUGAUGGAUAACUUUCCUUUUGCACCUGGAGUACGUGAGGAGCGUUUAAUUGCUGUCAGAGACCAAAUAGUGUCGCUACCAGUCACUACUCGAGUCCAUUUUGAAAUGGCCUCCUUUACUGACACUGAUCUUCUGACUGGCCUCAUACAGCAUGUCAUUCCAUAUGCUGACUCUCUUGGAAUGAACGAACAGGAAUUACCAAAUCUGUACAGUAUGGUGAAAUACGGGAAUGUGAGUUUAGUGUCAGACUUCAACCCACGAGUAGCGGUGGUGCUUGACCAGAUGAGGGAGGUGUUCCAAUUACUGCGAGAAACUGAAGAGAAAGGAGGGAAACGCCACUUGACGAGGUUGCAUCUACACACUCUGGCCUACCAGGCCAUCAUGGUGUUGAAGGAUUCACCGUGGAAGAACACACUAGCAGCUAGUAUCAAGGCUGCUCUUACUGCUAACCGCCAUGUUUGUGGUAAUACUGAGUUUUCUGAGAUGCCUCCUGCUAGAACUGCUUGAGCCUCACACACAGUCACCACUAGAAGUUAUUACUAGAGCACUAAAAGUGUCACUGAAUCACAAAUAAAGAGUGAACAGUAUAAAUUAUGGCAGAGCAGAGACACGACAUGGGCAUGUUGAUGGAACAAGUCUCCAUAUCACACUCUGCACAAGAGUUCAUGUGAGCCAAGUCAUCACAGAGGCAGGGAGCGACCUCGCAUCAUCACUUGCUGAUCACAUAAGUAUAGAUAAUGCUCGAAUGCUGAUGGACGAUGGUUUCACGUUGUCUGAGGCUGAGGGUGCUGGCAGGGUUUUAUUUGACAACCACCGACCUGUGUCUUGCUGGACUGAAGAUGAUGGCAAAGUAGAG
rnacentral:misc_RNA from 1 species